rnacentral:lncRNA from 1 species
AGAUAAUGUUUAUCAAUGAGAAAACAGAAAUUUGAAGAGGCAAAGCAAGUUGCCCAAGGCCAAGGGAGAAGGUCAGCGUGAACUGCUACCGCCAUGUUGAAGUUCAUUUUCUCUUCACUCGAGAAGCUGCCUGGACACCAGGGUGGAGGAACUGUCAGGGCCCUCACUGUGGAAGGAAGAUCCACAGAAAGCAUCCUGGGGUCCUGAGCUGAAGUGUGAUAGGAGGAGUCCUCUGUAUCUCAGUCUGAGCCUGGUCUCCCUCCCAGCCAUGGUCUCACACUAGUGCUGCUGGGAAACCAUCCCUCACAGCCAGUCCUGGCAUCGGGCAGUGACUCUGGUCCAACUGCUGUCCAACUCAAGGGUUUAGCUGCUUAGAUUUUCCUAAAACUUGAAUUUCAUUUUCCUCUAGCCAUGGAAUACAGAUUAAUCCUUUACAAUUAAAAUCCAAGUUCAGAUUUUA